GACGUAGGGAGCGAGCGUUGUCCGGAUUCAUUGGGCGUAAAGAGCGCGUAGGCGGCCGUGCAAGUCGGUUGUGAAAUCCCGGGGCUCAACCGCGGGACUGCGUCCGAUACUGCACGGCUCGAGGCAGGUAGGGGAGAGUGGAAUUCCCGGUGUAGCGGUGAAAUGCGCAGAUAUCGGGAGGAACACCGGUGGCGAAGGCGGAUCUCUGGGCCUGUUCUGACGCUGAGGCGCGAAAGCUAGGGGAGCGAACAGG
rnacentral:rRNA from 1 species